rnacentral:rRNA from 1 species
UACGUAGGGGGCAAGCGUUGUCCGGAAUCAUUGGGCGUAAAGCGCGUGUAGGCGGCUCAGUAAGUCCGCUCUGAAAGCCCGGGGCUUAACCCCGGGAGGCGGGUGGAUACUGCUGAGCUUGAGUCCGGAAGAGGCGAGUGGAAUUCCCGGUGUAGCGGUGAAAUGCGCAGAUAUCGGGAGGAACACCGGUGGUGUAGACGGCUUACUGGACCACGACUGACACUGAGGCACGAAAGCGUGGGUAGCAAACAGG